rnacentral:rRNA from 1 species
UACAGAGGGGGCAAGCGUUGUUCGGAAUUACUGGGCGUAAAGGGCGCGUAGGCGGCUCGACAAGUCCCGCGUGAAAGCCCCCGGCUCAACUGGGGAACUGCGCGGGAAACUGUCGGGCUUGAGUUCGGGAGAGGGAAGCGGAAUUCCGGGUGUAGCGGUGAAAUGCGCAGAUAUCAGGAGGAACACCGGUGGCGAAAGCGGAUCUCUGGGACGAUACUGACGCUGAGGAGCGAAAGCGUGGGGAGCGAACAGG